GACGAACGCUGGCGGCGUGCUUAACACAUGCAAGUCGAACGGAAAGGCCCUGCUUUUGUGGGGUGCUCGAGUGGCGAACGGGUGAGUAACACGUGAGUAACCUGCCCUUGACUUUGGGAUAACUUCAGGAAACUGGGGCUAAUACCGGAUAGGAGCUCCUGCUGCAUGGUGGGGGUUGGAAAGUUUCGGCGGUUGGGGAUGGACUCGCGGCUUAUCAGCUUGUUGGUGGGGUAGUGGCUUACCAAGGCUUUGACGGGUAGCCGGCCUGAGAGGGUGACCGGCCACAUUGGGACUGAGAUACGGCCCAGACUCCUACGGGAGGCAGCAGUGGGGAAUAUUGCACAAUGGGCGGAAGCCUGAUGCAGCAACGCCGCGUGCUGGAUGACGGCCUUCGGGUUGUAAACCGCUUUCGCCUGUGACGAAGCGUAAGUGACGGUAAUGGGUAAAGAAGCACCGGCUAACUACGUG
rnacentral:rRNA from 1 species